UAAGCGACUAAGCGUACACGGUGGAUGCCCUGGCAGUCAGAGGCGAUGAAGGACGUGCUAAUCUGCGAUAAGCGUCGGUAAGGUGAUAUGAACCGUUAUAACCGGCGAUUUCCGAAUGGGGAAACCCAGUGUGAUUCGUCACACUAUCACUAACUGAAUCCAUAGGUUAAUGAGGCGAACCGGGGGAACUGAAACAUCUAAGUACCCCGAGGAAAAGAAAUCAACCGAGAUUCCCCCAGUAGCGGCGAGCGAACGGGGAGGAGCCCAGAGCCUGAAUCAGUGUGUGUGUUAGUGGAAGCGUCUGGAAAGGCGCGCGAUACAGGGUGACAGCCCCGUACACAAAAAUGCACAUGCUGUGAGCUCGAUGAGUAGGGCGGGACACGUGGUAUCCUGUCUGAAUAUGGGGGGACCAUCCUCCAAGGCUAAAUACUCCUGACUGACCGAUAGUGAACCAGUACCGUGAGGGAAAGGCGAAAAGAACCCCGGCGAGGGGAGUGAAAAAGAACCUGAAACCGUGUACGUACAAGCAGUGGGAGCACAGAGCAAUCUGUGUGACUGCGUACCUUUUGAUAAUGGGUCAGCGACUUAUAUUCUGUAGCAAGGUUAACCGAAUAGGGGAGCCGAAGGGAAACCGAGUCUUAACCGGGCGUUAAGUUGCAGGGUAUAGACCCGAAACCCGGUGAUCUAGCCAUGGGCAGGUUGAAGGUUGGGUAACACUAACUGGAGGACCGAACCGACUAAUGUUGAAAAAUUAGCGGAUGACUUGUGGCUGGGGGUGAAAGGCCAAUCAAACCGGGAGAUAGCUGGUUCUCCCCGAAAGCUAUUUAGGUAGCGCCUCGUGAAUUCAUCUCCGGGGGUAGAGCACUGUUUCGGCAAGGGGGUCAUCCCGACUUACCAACCCGGAUGCAAACUGCGAAUACCGGAGAAUGUUAUCACGGGAGACACACGGCGGGUGCUAACGUCCGUCGUGAAGAGGGAAACAACCCAGACCGCCAGCUAAGGUCCCAAAGUCAUGGUUAAGUGGGAAACGAUGUGGGAAGGCCCAGACAGCCAGGAUGUUGGCUUAGAAGCAGCCAUCAUUUAAAGAAAGCGUAAUAGCUCACUGGUCGAGUCGGCCUGCGCGGAAGAUGUAACGGGGCUAAACAAUGCACCGAAAGCUGCGGCAGCGACACUGUGUGUUGUUGGGUAGGGGAGCGUUCUGUAAGCCUGUGAAGGUGUACUGUAAGGUAUGCUGGAGGUAUCAGAAGUGCGAAUGCUGACAUAAGUAACGAUAAAAGCGGGUGAAAAGCCCGCUCGCCGGAAGACCAAGGGUUCCUGUCCAACGUUAAUCGGGGCAGGGUGAGUCGACCCCUAAGGCGAGGCCGAAAGGCGUAGUCGAUGGGAAACAGGUUAAUAUUCCUGUACUUGGUGUUACUGCGAAGGGGGGACGAGAAGGCUAUGUUGGCCGGGCGACGGUUGUCCCGGUUUAAGCGUGUAGGCUGGUUUUCCAGGCAAAUCCGGAAAAUCAAGGCUGAGGCGUGAUGACGAGGCACUACGGUGCUGAAGCAACAAAUGCCCUGCUUCCAGGAAAAGCCUCUAAGCAUCAGGUAACAUCAAAUCGUACCCCAAACCGACACAGGUGGUCAGGUAGAGAAUACCAAGGCGUUUGAGAGAACUCGGGUGAAGGAACUAGGCAAAAUGGUGCCGUAACUUCGGGAGAAGGCACGCUGAUAUGUAGGUGAAGUCCCUCGCGGAUGGAGCUGAAAUCAGUCGAAGAUACCAGCUGGCUGCAACUGUUUAUUAAAAACACAGCACUGUGCAAACACGAAAGUGGACGUAUACGGUGUGACGCCUGCCCGGUGCCGGAAGGUUAAUUGAUGGGGUCAGCGCAAGCGAAGCUCUUGAUCGAAGCCCCGGUAAACGGCGGCCGUAACUAUAACGGUCCUAAGGUAGCGAAAUUCCUUGUCGGGUAAGUUCCGACCUGCACGAAUGGCGUAAUGAUGGCCAGGCUGUCUCCACCCGAGACUCAGUGAAAUUGAACUCGCUGUGAAGAUGCAGUGUACCCGCGGCAAGACGGAAAGACCCCGUGAACCUUUACUAUAGCUUGACACUGAACAUUGAGCCUUGAUGUGUAGGAUAGGUGGGAGGCUUUGAAGUGUGGACGCCAGUCUGCAUGGAGCCGACCUUGAAAUACCACCCUUUAAUGUUUGAUGUUCUAACGUGGACCCGUGAUCCGGGUUGCGGACAGUGUCUGGUGGGUAGUUUGACUGGGGCGGUCUCCUCCUAAAGAGUAACGGAGGAGCACGAAGGUUGGCUAAUCCUGGUCGGACAUCAGGAGGUUAGUGCAAUGGCAUAAGCCAGCUUGACUGCGAGCGUGACGGCGCGAGCAGGUGCGAAAGCAGGUCAUAGUGAUCCGGUGGUUCUGAAUGGAAGGGCCAUCGCUCAACGGAUAAAAGGUACUCCGGGGAUAACAGGCUGAUACCGCCCAAGAGUUCAUAUCGACGGCGGUGUUUGGCACCUCGACGUCGGCUCAUCACAUCCUGGGGCUGAAGUAGGUCCCAAGGGUAUGGCUGUUCGCCAUUUAAAGUGGUACGCGAGCUGGGUUUAGAACGUCGUGAGACAGUUCGGCCCCUAUCUGCCGUGGGCGCUGGAGAACUGAGGGGGGCUGCUCCUAGUACGAGAGGACCGGAGUGGACGCAUCACUGGUGUUCGGGUUGUCAUGCCAAUGGCACUGCCCGGUAGCUAAAUGCGGAAGAGAUAAGUGCUGAAAGCAUCUAAGCACGAAACUUGCCCCGAGAUGAGUUCUCCCUGACCCUUUAAGGGUCCUGAAGGAACGUUGAAGACGACGACGUUGAUAGGCCGGGUGUGUAAGCGCAGCGAUGCGUUGAGCUAACCGGUACUAAUGAACCGUGAGGCUUAACCU
rnacentral:rRNA from 1 species